rnacentral:rRNA from 1 species
AAUGAACGCUGGCGGCGUGCCUAACACAUGCAAGUCGGAUGUGCCGCAAGGUGCAUGGCAGACGGGUGAGUAACGCGUGGGGAACCUACCUUUUCGUGGGGAAUAACGAUCCGAAAGGAUUGGUAAUACCGCAUGAGACCGAUGGCUGGGAUGCUGUCGGUGAAAGCCGGGGAUCGAAAGACCUGGCGCGAGAAGAGGGUCCUGCGUCUGAUUAGCUAGUUGGUGGGGUAAUGGCCUACCAAGGCGACGAUCAGUAGCCGGCCUGAGAGGGUGAUCGGCCACACUGGAACUGAGACACGGUCCAGACUCCUACGGGAGGCAGCAGUGGGGAAUUUUGCGCAAUGGGCGAAAGCCUGACGCAGCAACGCCGCGUGGGUGAUGAAGGUCUUCGGAUUGUAAAACCCUGUCGUCGGGGACGAAUUCCUUCCGGGUGAAUAGCCCGGGAGGUUGACGGUACCGAGAGAAGAAGCCCCGGCUAACUCCGUGCCAGCAGCCGCAGUAAAAC